GAUGAACGCUAGCUACAGGCUUAACACAUGCAAGUCGAGGGACCGGCGCACGGGUGAGUAACACGUAUCCAACCUGCCCUUUACUCGGGGAUAGCCUUUCGACAGAAAGAUUAAUACCCGAUAUAAAGGAUGGGGAUGCGUUCCAUUAGGUUGUUGGUGAGGUAACGGCUGACCAAGCCUUCCAUGGCUAGGGUUGCUGAGAGGAAGGUCCACCACAUUUGAACUGAGACACGGGCCAAACUCCGACGGGAGGCAGCAGUGAGGAAUAGUGGGCAAUGGGCGCUAGCCUGAACCAGCCAAGUAGCGUGAAGGAUGAAGGCUUAUGGGUCGUAAACUUCUUUUAUAUAAGAAUAUGUAUUAUAUGAAUAAGGAUCGGCUAACUCCGUGCCAGCCGCCGCGGUAAUAC
rnacentral:rRNA from 1 species